rnacentral:rRNA from 1 species
AUGACUGAUGUUGAGCGUGAGGCUGUCGUUAGUGGUGGAGAUGAUGCUUGUGGUGUUCCAUUGAGUAGUGGGCGCGAUGUUGGUACCAAAGUUGCUGAUGAGGAUGUUGGUGUUGCCAGCAUACUUCAUGCCAAAUCGUCUGGUGUUGGUAUUGCUGGGAAUGAAAAUCUUUUUGAUUGUGAAGAUUUCCUGCCGGAAAAUUUCUCGCCUGGAGGCCUUGAUUACGGUAAUGCAUUGCAAGAUGCCUCUAGCAUGGAGGAGGAACUCCCGUCGUCAAACGCUAAUAGUGCAGAAGGUGCUAAUCUUGUUAAGGUUGAUUUAUUUUUCUUCACUGUUAUGAGGUUGUGCACGAACCAUGGGAAACAUGACAAGCCAAUGUUUCAAACUCGCAAAUGUGAUGCUAGUGUUGGUUCUAUUGCUAAAGCGUUUGUCCCCACUGGCAUGCUCAACUCAAACAUUGUUGACGUUGUUUUAUAUUCUCUACAUCAGAAGUACCGAGACACUGACAAGUUGAUAGUUCCUAGAUGGCUUCUUUUCCCUACUUUUGAUCCAUCGUCAUUUGCGGCUGCCAUGAAGCCUAGUGAAGAAUCUGGGCAUUGGUGCUUGAUUGUUCUGAAUUUGAGGUUCCGUCAUUUCGAGUGUUUUGAUUCACUCCGCGAUGAAACCUGGAGUGAUGCAGUUAGAUUCUUAAGGACUAUGAUAGAACAUAAAGAAGCUUUGGAGGGAGUCCAGCGUAGACAUGGCCAAACCGUUCUCGCCGUCGCAUAUUGA